rnacentral:lncRNA from 1 species
UAGCACUGGGCAGCAAGCAUUUUCAACGGGGUUUCCUAGCCCUAUGUGCACCAAACCUCCAAGAACAUCCACACAAAGCCCUAGCUUAAGUGCAUUGAUUGGACAAGUGGGUUGAGUAGUAGGUGGAGGGUUAAGUCCCGGAACAUUGCCGCCUCCUCCGCCACCACCUCCGCCGCCGCCUCCGCCCCCGCCAGGCGGUGUGUAAGGUGGAUAAGUAGAAGGUGGUGGAAUUGUUACCGGAGGGUUUGUGACAGGAGGAGUAAUUACCGGAGGAUGUGUAAUUGGAGGGACUGUGACUGGUGGUGGAGGAAAAAUGAUUGGAGGGGCAA